GCCAUUUAUGUAGCGCCAACAGAACCUGUAGCGCUUUACAAUAUUAAAAGAGGGGGGGGGAUUUAACUAUGAAAAGGACAAUUACAAGAAAACAUACAGGAACGAUAGGUUGAAGAGGACCCUGCUUGAAGGAGCUUACAGUCUAUAGAUCACUAAAUGCUGCUCCAUAAUACACAUUUUUAUCCGAAAAUCAUUAUUUAAAAUGGUGUUGUGGUGCAUCUUUAUAGUGG